rnacentral:rRNA from 1 species
UCUGGUUGAUCCUGCCAGUAGUCAUAUGCUUGUCUCAAAGACUAAGCCAUGCAUGUCUAAGUAUAAACAAUUAUACAGUGAAACUGCGAACGGCUCAUUAAAUCAGUUAUCGUUUAUUUGAUAGUUUUCUACAUGGAUAAACCGUGAUAACUUCAGAACUAAUACAUGACAGCCUUCGGCGUAUAUAUAGAUUACAAACCACAGUAUGGUGAUUCUAAUAUCUUGUCGAACCGAUGCUUCGGUGUAUCAUUCAAAUUUCUGCCCUAUCAAACUGUCGAUGGUAGGAUCGUGGCCUACCAUGGUAACAAGGGGUAACGGGGAAUCAGGGUUCUAUUCCGGAGAGGGAGCCUGAGAAAACGGCUACCACAUCCAAGAAGGCAGCAGGCGCGCAAAUUACCCCAAUCCUGACACAGGGAGGUAGUGACAAUAUAUAACGAUCCGGGGCUCUUUGAGUUCGGUAAUUGGAAUGAGUACAAUGUUAAACACCUUAACGAGGAACAAUUGGAGGGCAAGUCUCGGUGCCAGCAGCCGCGUGUAAUUCCAGCUCCAAUAGCGUAUAUUAAUGUUGUUGCAGUAUAAAAAGCUCGUAGUUGAAAUUGGGCGGGCUAUUAGUUUAGGGCCGCUUCAGGAAGAACUUCUUCCAGUUACUUUGAAAAAAUUAGAGUGUUCAACGCAGGUUUCGCCUGAAUAUAUUAGCAUGGAAUAACCAACACGACCGAGGGUCCAUUUUGUUGGCUUGCAACCCACGUAAUGAUUAAUAGGGACCAGUCGGGGGCGUCAGUAUUGUGUUGUCAGAGGUGGAAAUCUUUGGAUUUACACAAGACUACUAACUACUGCGAAGGCAUUCGCCAAGGAUGUAUUCAUUAAUCAAAGAACGAAAGUUAGGGGAUCAAAGUGUGAUCAGAUACCGUCGUAGUCUUAACCGUAAACUAUGCCGACUGAGAAUGGGUCAUACCGCUUCAUACGGUAUCCGCGCUCUACGAGAAAUCAAAGUGAUCAGGUUCUGGGGGGAGUAUGGUCGCAAGGCUGAAACUUAAAAGGAAUUGACGGAAGGAGCACCACCAGGAGUGGAGCCAUGCGGCUUAAUUUGACUCAACACGGGGGAAACUCACCAGGUCCAGAACACAAUAAGGAUUGACAGAUUGAUAGCUCUUUCUUGAUUUUGUGGGUGGUGGUGCAUGGCCGUAUCUUAGUUGGUGAGUGAUUUGUCUGCUUAAUUGCGAUAACGAACGAGACCUUGGACCUACUAAAUAGCUCUACUUGCGAUUGCAGGUAGCUAGCUUCUUAGAGGGGACUAAUCUAUUACAAGUAGAUGGAAGUUCGAGGGCAAUAAGCAGGUCUGUGAUGCCCUUAGACGUUCUGGGCCGCACGCGCGGCCUACACUGACGGAGCCAGCGAGUCGACACAAGCCCGAGAGGGCUAGGUAAUCUUGUGAAACUCCGUCGUGCUGGGGAUAGAGCAUUGCAAUUAUUGCUCUUCAACGAGGAAUUCCUAGUAAGCGCAAGUCAUCAGCUUGCGUUGAUUACGUCCCUGCCCUUUGUACACACCGCCCGUCGCUACUACCGAUUGAAUGGUUUAGUGAGACCUUGGGAGGGCGAGAUGAGGGGGGCAACCCCUUUUGAACAUCCAAACUUGGUCAAACUUGAUUAUUUAGAGGAAGUAAAAGUCGUAACAAGGUUUCCGUAGGUGAACCUGCGGAAG